UAGGGUGACCAGUUGUGCUGGUUUGCCUGUGACUGAGGAGUUUCUGGGAUACAGGACUUUCAGUCCUAAAACCACGAAAGUC
rnacentral:miRNA from 1 species